AACUUCCAUAUUCGUUAUCCCUCGGAUCUAAACAUUGGUCUAAGCGGCUGUAAAAGGAGGCAGUAUCAAAUGGAAGUGGACUUGUGGACUUGUCUUUAGUGAUGGACAAGUUCAUCUCAAACAUAG
rnacentral:snoRNA from 1 species